AAUAAGCGCAGCCAUGAGUUUCUGUGUCCAACUUUGAUCGUCCAUCUUAUUUGAAAAUUUUUUUUGUUAAUAUUUUUUUGUUAUUAGAUUAUAAAAUAUAAAUAAUAUUUUACGCGUGACUUAAGUUUUUUUUAAAAAAAUAAUUAAGAUGAUCGAUUAAAGUUGGACACUAAACUCAUGCUGAGU
rfam:Oryza meridionalis cultivar OR44 (W2112) chromosome 1, whole genome shotgun sequence.